UGGCUCAGACUCUGCGGCUGGAUCACCUCCUUAGAGUUUGAUCCUGGCUCAGACUCUGCGGCUGGAUCACCUCCUUAGAGUUUGAUCCUGGCUCAGAUUGAACGCUGGCGGCAGGCCUAACACAUGCAAGUCGAACGGUAACAGGAAUCAGCUUGCUGAUUCGCUGACGAGUGGCGGACGGGUGAGUAAUGUCUGGGAAACUGCCUGAUGGAGGGGGAUAACUACUGGAAACGGUAGCUAAUACCGCAUAACGUCGCAAGACCAAAGAGGGGGACCUUCGGGCCUCUUGCCAUCGGAUGUGCCCAGAUGGGAUUAGCUAGUAGGUGGGGUAACGGCUCACCUAGGCGACGAUCCCUAGCUGGUCUGAGAGGAUGACCAGCCACACUGGAACUGAGACACGGUCCAGACUCCUACGGGAGGCAGCAGUGGGGAAUAUUGCACAAUGGGCGCAAGCCUGAUGCAGCCAUGCCGCGUGUAUGAAGAAGGCCUUCGGGUUGUAAAGUACUUUCAGCGGGGAGGAAGGGAGUAAAGUUAAUACCUUUGCUCAUUGACGUUACCCGCAGAAGAAGCACCGGCUAACUCCGUGCCAGCAGCCGCGGUAAUACGGAGGGUGCAAGCGUUAAUCGGAAUUACUGGGCGUAAAGCGCACGCAGGCGGUUUGUUAAGUCAGAUGUGAAAUCCCCGGGCUCAACCUGGGAACUGCAUCUGAUACUGGCAAGCUUGAGUCUCGUAGAGGGGGGUAGAAUUCCAGGUGUAGCGGUGAAAUGCGUAGAGAUCUGGAGGAAUACCGGUGGCGAAGGCGGCCCCCUGGACGAAGACUGACGCUCAGGUGCGAAAGCGUGGGGAGCAAACAGGAUUAGAUACCCCUGGUAGUCCACGCCGUAAACGAUGUCGACUUGGAGGUUGUGCCCUUGAGGCGUGGCUUCCCGGAGCUAACGCGUUAAGUCGACCGCCUGGGGAGUACGGCCGCAAGGUUAAAACUCAAAUGAAUUGACGGGGGCCCGCACAAGCGGUGGAGCAUGUGGUUUAAUUCGAUGCAACGCGAAGAACCUUACCUGGUCUUGACAUCCACAGAACUUUCCAGAGAUGGAUUGGUGCCUUCGGGAACUGUGAGACAGGUGCUGCAUGGCUGUCGUCAGCUCGUGUUGUGAAAUGUUGGGUUAAGUCCCGCAACGAGCGCAACCCUUAUCCUUUGUUGCCAGCGGUCCGGCCGGGAACUCAAAGGAGACUGCCAGUGAUAAACUGGAGGAAGGUGGGGAUGACGUCAAGUCAUCAUGGCCCUUACGACCAGGGCUACACACGUGCUACAAUGGCGCAUACAAAGAGAAGCGACCUCGCGAGAGCAAGCGGACCUCAUAAAGUGCGUCGUAGUCCGGAUUGGAGUCUGCAACUCGACUCCAUGAAGUCGGAAUCGCUAGUAAUCGUGGAUCAGAAUGCCACGGUGAAUACGUUCCCGGGCCUUGGGGGGGGGCGCCCGU
rnacentral:rRNA from 3 species